rnacentral:rRNA from 1 species
UGCAAGUCGAACGCGUUGGCCCAAUUGAUUGAUGGUGCUUGCACCUGAUUGAUUUUGGUCGCCAACGAGUGGCGGACGGGUGAGUAACACGUAGGUAACCUGCCCAGAAGCGGGGGACAACAUUUGGAAACAGAUGCUAAUACCGCAUAACAGCGUUGUUCGCAUGAACAACGCUUAAAAGAUGGCUUCUCGCUAUCACUUCUGGAUGGACCUGCGGUGCAUUAGCUUGUUGGUGGGGUAACGGCCUACCAAGGCGAUGAUGCAUAGCCGAGUUGAGAGACUGAUCGGCCACAAUGGGACUGAGACACGGCCCAUACUCCUACGGGAGGCAGCAGUAGGGAAUCUUCCACAAUGGGCGCAAGCCUGAUGGAGCAACACCGCGUGAGUGAAGAAGGGUUUCGGCUCGUAAAGCUCUGUUGUUAAAGAAGAACACGUAUGAGAGUAACUGUUCAUACGUUGACGGUAUUUAACCAGAAAGUCACGGCUAACUACGUGCCAGCAGCCGCGGUAAUACGUAGGUGGCAAGCGUUAUCCGGAUUUAUUGGGCGUAAAGAGAGUGCAGGCGGUUUUCUAAGUCUGAUGUGAAAGCCUUCGGCUUAACCGGAGAAGUGCAUCGGAAACUGGAUAACUUGAGUGCAGAAGAGGGUAGUGGAACUCCAUGUGUAGCGGUGGAAUGCGUAGAUAUAUGGAAGAACACCAGUGGCGAAGGCGGCUACCUGGUCUGCAACUGACGCUGAGACUCGAAAGCAUGGGUAGCGAACAGGAUUAGAUACCCUGGUAGUCCAUGCCGUAAACGAUGAGUGCUAGGUGUUGGAGGGUUUCCGCCCUUCAGUGCCGGAGCUAACGCAUUAAGCACUCCGCCUGGGGAGUACGACCGCAAGGUUGAAACUCAAAGGAAUUGACGGGGGCCCGCACAAGCGGUGGAGCAUGUGGUUUAAUUCGAAGCUACGCGAAGAACCUUACCAGGUCUUGACAUCUUGCGCCAACCCUAGAGAUAGGGCGUUUCCUUCGGGAACGCAAUGACAGGUGGUGCAUGGUCGUCGUCAGCUCGUGUCGUGAGAUGUUGGGUUAAGUCCCGCAACGAGCGCAACCCUUGUUACUAGUUGCCAGCAUUAAGUUGGGCACUCUAGUGAGACUGCCGGUGACAAACCGGAGGAAGGUGGGGACGACGUCAGAUCAUCAUGCCCCUUAUGACCUGGGCUACACACGUGCUACAAUGGACGGUACAACGAGUCGCGAACUCGCGAGGGCAAGCAAAUCUCUUAAAACCGUUCUCAGUUCGGACUGCAGGCUGCAACUCGCCUGCACGAAGUCGGAAUCGCUAGUAAUCGCGGAUCAGCAUGCCGCGGUGAAUACGUUCCCGGGCCUUGUACACACCGCCCGUCACACCAUGAGAGUUUGUAACACCCAAAGUCGGUGGGGUAACCUUUUAGGAGCCAGCCGCCUA